CCUGCCUAGAAGUGUCACAGGUGUAACUCCUGUGUCACAUGUAUGUCAGUUGUCAGCAGAAAAGAGAGAGGCUAUGUUUGUGCUCCGACAUGUCAACAUCUGAAUGAUAAGUAGCCUAGCAUU
ensembl:snoRNA LOC120094931 small nucleolar RNA SNORA17